rnacentral:rRNA from 1 species
GACGAACGCUGGCGGCGUGCUUAACGCAUGCAAGUCGAACGGAAAGGCCCUGCUUUUGUGGGGUGCUCGAGUGGCGAACGGGUGAGUAACGCGUGAGUAACCUGCCCUUGACUUUGGGAUAACUUCAGGAAACUGGGGCUAAUACCGGAUAGGAGCUCCUGCUGCAUGGUGGGGGUUGGAAAGUUUCGGCGGUUGGGGAUGGACUCGCGGCUUAUCAGCUUGUUGGUGGGGUAGUGGCUUACCAAGGCUUUGACGGGUAGCCGGCCUGAGAGGGUGACCGGCCACAUUGGGACUGAGAUACGGCCCAGACUCCUACGGGAGGCAGCAGUGGGGAAUAUUGCACAAUGGGCGGAAGCCUGAUGCAGCAACGCCGCGUGCGGGAUGACGGCCUUCGGGUUGUAAACCGCUUUCGCCUGUGACGAAGCGUGAGUGACGGUAAUGGGUAAAGAAGCACCGGCUAACUACGUG